AAAAACAUCGCUUCUCGAAAUAGCCAUGAGAAGUCAGCCUGCCCAGUGAUCAAUUAAACGGCCGCGGUACCCUGACCGUGCAAAGGUAGCGCAAUCACCUGUUCUUUAAAUAAGGACUAGUAUGAAUGGCACCACGAGGGUUACACUGUCUCCCCUUUUUAAUCAGUGAAACUGAUCUUCCCGUGAAGAAGCGGGAAUAUACAUAUAAGACGAGAAGACCCCAUGAAGCUUUAAAUUCAGAAUCAACUGCUAACAAUCAUAUCAUUCUAACAAAACAGACCUGACUUCUGACUUUCGGUUGGGGUGACCGCGGAGAAAAACAAAUCCUCCACGAUGAAAGGAACUUACUCCUUAUCCAAGAACUACAACUCUAAGAAUCAAUAAUCUGACAAAAUUGACCCAAAUUACUUUGAUCAACGAACCAAGUUACUCUGGGGAUAACAGCGCAAUCUAUUUCAAGAGCCCAUAUCGACAAAUAGGUUUACGACCUCGAUGUUGGAUCAGGGCAUCCAAGUGGCGCAACCGCUACUAACGGUUCGUUUGUUCAACGAUUAAAGCCCUACGUGAUCUGAG
rnacentral:rRNA from 1 species